rnacentral:rRNA from 1 species
GCAGUCUACACAUGCAAGUCGAGCGGUAACACAGGGAGCUUGCUCCUGGGUGACGAGCGGCGGACGGGUGAGUAAUGUCUGGGAAACUGCCUGAUGGAGGGGGAUAACUACUGGAAACGGUAGCUAAUACCGCAUAACGUCGCAAGACCAAAGAGGGGGACCUUCGGGCCUCUUGCCAUCAGAUGUGCCCAGAUGGGAUUAGCUAGUAGGUGGGGUAAUGGCUCACCUAGGCGACGAUCCCUAGCUGGUCUGAGAGGAUGACCAGCCACACUGGAACUGAGACACGGUCCAGACUCCUACGGGAGGCAGCAGUGGGGAAUAUUGCACAAUGGGCGCAAGCCUGAUGCAGCCAUGCCGCGUGUAUGAAGAAGGCCUUCGGGUUGUAAAGUACUUUCAACGAGGAGGAAGGCAUUAAGAGUUAAUAUACCUUGUGUGAUUGACGUUACUCUC